AAAAAUAAUAUACAAAAAAUACACUUCAACACCCCAACCCAGAAACAUUCAUCGUCUCCAUUCUCCAAGACCCCAACACAGUAACACUUCAGCCCCCCUGUUCAAAAUCACCAGCGACCGACCUUGAAGACUAUGGUCUAAACACCCUUAUGAUGAAACGAACCACUGGAAAAGACCCAAACAACGCCCCCCAGAUUAGGGCUUUCAGAUCUGGUAUUCUGGUGGUUUAGCGGAGGUAGCAGUCGAUCUCUCCGGCGACAUUAGGGCUUUCACGGUGGUCAGUGGUGGAGGUGGUCAGCGGUGGUGGUGGUCUCAUGACGGCAGAUGGUGGUUUCGUAGCCACUGUGUAGAAACUUUAAAUGUGUAGAUAAUGAUACUGAAGGAAGGUUCAGCUUUUCAUGGCGGGCAAACCAAAUCCCAAAUCUCAUUUUAAAUUUCAAAUUUCAACUCACCAAAAGACAAAAGACCACUACACACCACGACUCAAAUUCUCAAAACCAGUCAUUCCGAAUCUCCUUUAUGUGCUCAACUUCUAGAGCGAGAAACUUCUAGAGAGAGAAACCGAUGGACGAGAAGUUGAUACAGCGGUUGGAAUCCGCCGUAGCACGGCUGGAAUCACUAUCUCUUCCUUCACAAUCAUGAUCUAUCGACGUUAAUGCGGUUGCCGAUUCCACGGAUCCAUCGAUCAUCGCAUUUGAAGAUCUUUUGACGGAAUUCGUCGGCAAGGUGUUGACUGCUGCCAUGAAAUCGAGAUUCGUGAUACUGAUCUUGAGUUCUGGAAAUCUUUGUUUCUUCCUGUUGCAUUGGCACAUACAAUUGGUCAUGUAGCAGCAACUGUAAGCAUGUCUAAGGUUGCAGUUUCUUUCACUCACAUAAUCAAAAGCGGUGAACCUGCUUUUAGUGUUUUGGUUUCAAGGUUUAUUUUAGGUGAAACAUUCCCAACAUCGGUUUACUUGUCUCUUUUACCGAUCAUCGGUGGUUGUGGUCUCGCCGCCCUUACUGAGCUCAACUUCAACAUGAUUGGCAAUUUCAUAACUUGAACACUGUUUUAUGGGGGCUAUGAUAUCCAGUUUGGCAUUUGUGUUUAGGAACAUAUUUUCUAAAAGUGAGAAGGCAUUAGAGAUGCUGGUGUAUGCUCAUGAGACGCAACAUGAAAAAAUCAUAAGGUAAGUUGUUUCAUAUAACGUGUCGCUUCAUUAAGGAGGUGGCAACUUUGACCCAUUUAUUACAAAGAGUUUAAUAGUUUAAUUUGAGUUAUGCUUUAUUAAUGGGUACAACAGAAAUAAUUAGCUAAAGAGGAAACGGGUCGAAUGAGUCGAAAAUCGCCUGAAGUGUAACUUAUAUCCAUAAAACAUCCAAAUCUUUUUUUUUUGACAAAACAGAUCGAUUCUUACUGAGAUAAGUUAAUUAUUUUAUCUGAAAUCAAUAUUAGACUUUUUUGGGUUUAAGUUAAAUUAUGUGUUCUUUAGUUAAUAAUGUAGUCGGUUAGCUAACCUUCCUCUACCCUAAAUAUUAGGGGUGCUAAACGGGUCGUGUUUGUGGGUUGGCGGGUUCAACCCGGACUCGAAAAUUUUAAACAAACCCGAACACGACCCGAACCCGAAAAUCGUGUAUGCAUAUGAAUCUGAACACGGAUGUUCUUGGGUUGACCAGAACACGGGCCGGUCAACCCGAUUUUUUUUUUUUGAUGAAAAAGUUUAUCUGUAUGUAUGGACACAAAUAGGCUGUUGUUUUAUAGGAGCCAAACCUCAGGGAUAAUAGGAGAUGGCAUAGAUCCUGAAAUUAAAGAGCAAAUUGACAAGUGCGAGUUUACGUUGAUGACAUUGUCAUGACAUCAUGAUGUCAUCCCUUUAACAUUCACUGAUCAUUUUAUUUAAAACUAAAGAUAAUUUAGAGAAAAAUAAAUUUUAUAUUAAAUUAUCUAAAUGAAUAUAAAGGCACGAAUGUCAAUGCUCUUAGAUGUUAUUUUGUUUGUUAAGAUAUAAAAGAUCAUAUUAAAUAAUAGGUUAUUAAUUUGAUUUUUUAAACCCGUGUGUCACACGGGAUAUAGGCUAGUAUAAUAUACAUAUACAUGGGUGUGCAAGUGAGUUACAGCAAUGAUACAUGGAAAUUUUCAAAUAUACAACAAAUGUUUGACUUAACAAAAUAUAUUUACAUUCACAAAUCAAGUUCAAAUAAUAGAAAAGAUAAAGAAUAGAUGAGCGGGAUAGUUUUUUCAUUGCCAGAAACCGGCCAAAUCUGCUUAUUUCCGAUGAAGAUGGUGGUGAGUGGCAGUAGAUGAAGAUGAUGAUGAUGAGUGGAGGUUAAGGAUGAAUCAAUGAGAUUUUCAAAUUUUUAUAAAAAUAUGACUUUUUAAAUUUUUAAGUUGAAAAAUCCAUUUCAUUAUUUACACAUCAUAUUAAAGAUUAAUUUUUUUUAUGAAACCUGACAUGUCAUCACUAGUAACCUGCUAACCUGAUAAUUACAUAACAUUGGAACAUCAAAUGAAACAUUAGUAACUUUAGAGAGACAAAAAAAGUUUCAAUGACUUAAUUGGAACACUUGACAAAGUUAAUUACAUUUCUAUAAAGUUACCCCUUAAAUUAAACACGUAAAGAAUUGGUCAAUAGUUUAAUACAAAUAAACUAUCGGUCAACUUCCCAUUUCAUACAUAUUGCAUCCGAUUUUGAACAACACAUAUAUUUUUAUAACGAUUGAUUUAACAACAUAUUAAUAUUCAAAGAAAGAUGUCACUCUAUCGUUUUCAGGACUCACAAAAAAAUAAAUUACAACUAGUAAUUUAACAAAAUAAUCAAAAUCAAAGAAAAUGUCAAAAUACAUGUCUUUUUCACAUUUCAACAUAUGCAUGCCUGUCUAGGUUUAGAGGAGUUCCAUAUUGCUUUCAACAUCAAGAAAUCACAUGCAAUUUUCUGAUUAAUCUAAAAAAAAAAAAAAAAUCUAACAAUACCUUUUUUUUAACAUUAUUUGAAAAUAUUAAAGAACUAAAUAUUUUAUUGGUUACAAUAAACAUGAUUGUCUGAAAAGUAAUAUAAAAUUACUUGUUUUUUUUUCAACACCAACCCACUGAGUUUAACUCCUAUCUUCUAACCAAAAUGUCAUUUUUAUAUUAUUUUAUUUAUAAAAUACUUUACAAAAUCAAAACUUAUUAACAAGUCACACAUGAUUAUCUGGAUACCGUUAACGUACAAAACAAUCUUAUCGUGUGAUGCGUACGCGAGCAUUUCAACCGCACAUCUGACCUAAUGUAGGCCUUUAAUUGAACGUAGUGACACCAAUAGUAAUUAACUCGAAAUAAUGACACACGUUAUUACAUUAUUACGUAUGGGUUGGGUUAAACCAUAAUUACAGAUGUUAUUGCAUAAUUACGCAUGUUCUAUGCAGUUAAUGCAGUAAAAUAUCGGAUAUCGGUAAAGGACCGAUAUAUGAAAUAUAGGUUAUCUCGGUGAG